GAGGGUACAGCUCAGUGGUAGAGCACAUGCUUAGCAUGCAUGAGGUCCUGGGUUCAAUCCACAGUACCUCCA
rnacentral:tRNA from 1 species